UACAGAGGUCUCAAGCGUUGUUCGGAAUCACUGGGCGUAAAGGGCGCGUAGGCGGCCUUCUAAGUCGAACGUGAAAUCCCCGGGCUCAACCCGGGAACUGCGUCCGAUACUGGGAGGCUUGAAUCCGGGAGAGGGAUGUGGAAUUCCAGGUGUAGCGGUGAAAUGCGUAGAUAUCUGGAGGAACACCGGUGGCGAAGGCGGCAUCCUGGACCGGUAUUGACGCUGAGGCGCGAAAGCCAGGGGAGCAAACGGG
rnacentral:rRNA from 1 species